UACGGAGGGUGCAAGCGUUGUCCGGAAUCACUGGGCGUAAAGGGCGCGUAGGCGGCUCGGUAAGUAGGGGGUGAAAUCCUGCGGCUUAACCGCAGGGCUGCCUUCUAAACUGUCGAGCUUGGGCACGGUAGAGGCAGAUGGAAUUCCCGGUGUAGCGGUGGAAUGCGUAGAGAUCGGGAAGAACAUCAGUGGCGAAGGCGGUCUGCUGGGCCGUUGCUGACGCUGAGGCGCGACAGCGUGGGGAGCAAACAGG
rnacentral:rRNA from 1 species